GGUUUAAUUCGAAGCAACGCGAAGAACCUUACCAGGUCUUGACAUCCUUUGACCACUCUGGAGACAGAGCUUUCCCUUCGGGGACAAAGUGACAGGUGGUGCAUGGUUGUCGUCAGCUCGUGUCGUGAGAUGUUGGGUUAAGUCCCGCAACGAGCGCAACCCUUGAUUUUAGUUGCCAGCAUUUAGUUGGGCACUCUAAAGUGA
rnacentral:rRNA from 1 species